rnacentral:rRNA from 1 species
AACGCGUUAUAGAACCAUACCUUUUACUGACGGAUAGCCGUUUAGAGAUGAAGAUUAAUACCUGNUGGUAUUGUAAAUCGGCAUCGGCUUUAUAAUUAGAGAUUGAUUGGUAAAAGAUGGGUAUGGGUCUUGAUUAGCUGGAUGGUAGGGUGACGGCUUACCAUGGCAACGAUAAGUAGGGGCCCUGAGAGGGGGAUCCCCCACACUGGUACUGAGACACGGACCAGACUCCUACGGGAGGCAGCAGUGAGGAAUAUUGGGCAAUGGAGGCAACUCUGACCCAGCCAUGCCGCGUGCAGGAAGACUGCCCUAUGGGUUGUAAACUGCUUUUAUACAGGAAGAAACACACCUACGUGUAGGUGCCUGACGGUACUACAAGAAUAAGGACCGGCUAACUCCGUGCCAGCAGCCGCGGUAAUACGGAGGGUCCAAGCGUUAUCCGGAAUCAUUGGGUUUAAAGGGUCCGUAGGCGGGCUAUUAAGUCAGAGGUGAAAGUUUGCAGCUCAACUGUAAAAUUGCCUUUGAAACUGGUAGUCUUGAAUUAUUAUGAAGUGGUUAGAAUAAGUAGUGUAGCGGUGAAAUGCAUAGAUAUUACUUAGAAUACCAAUUGCGAAGG